AACACUGUACUAUCUCACGAACCGUUCAGAAAACCCUCUCACAUCUAUGAAGCAAAUCUCCCUCGCGCCGUCCACCGAACUUGCCUUGAUCACUAUCUUCGUCGCGUCGUUCGGGUCAACGAGUUUGUCGCGUUCGCCAUCUCCCUCGCGCUGCCCAUGGAAGCUACCCUUCCUCAUCGCAACCAUUUUUAAGCCCCCAUCUGGAUUCCCAUCUUCCAUUUCAUAAGCUUUAGAUUAGGUCUUCUUCCUCGUGGGCCAGAAAGGUACGAAGCUACUUUAGAUUAGUUUAGCUUAGAUUUUCAUGAUUUUUUGUUGGCAAUGAGGAGAUUUUGAAUCCUUCAGUUCUCAUGGCUCUCAGACUCUCUAGGAUUCUCAUGGGUAGCCAAACUUUCUCUCUCUCUCUCUCUCUCUCUCUCUCUCUCUCUCUCUGUGUAUUCUCUACGUGUUGUGUGCGCGGCUGCAAUCAUUGGGUUGUUGAUUUUGGUCAUUAUCAAAAGGGAAGGGCAGGGCAGAGGAACAGAGAAGAUAAAUUUGAUAGAUCCAUGGUUGAGAAAAUUUCUGUUCGAAGCUCCCCAAAGCCUGAACAUCGAUGCAAGGCGUGUGCCCCAGAUGAUGAGGUUACCAACACUUGGGCUCCCACCAUAUCGUGUCUUUACAUUGGAAGAAAUUGAUGAUGCAACAAACAAUUUCGAUGCCACGAAUUUGAUGGGAGAAGGAUCUCAGGGACUGGUAUUAACAUUGAAUUUAUGCUGUUUGUUGGCUUUGAAUGCAUUAUUUGAUGAAGCCAACAUUAUUAUUCAUCAACUUGAUGUCAUUAUUUCUGUGCAAUAUAUACAUUACCGGUCUAAAAAGGCUGGCUCAAAGAUGGUUUAUCGGUACAAGUGAAAUGUGUGAAAUUAAAGCAGAAGCAGUUGCCCCAAAACUUGGACCAGAGCAUGGAAGCCUUGCCAAAACUGAGGCAUAGGCAUUUGGUUAGCCUUCUUGGACACUGCACUGUCACUUAUCAGGACCAUCCAAUUGCAGCUAGAAAUGUAUUUAUUGUUCUUGAGAACAUCUCAAAUGGCUUUUUGACGGACCAUCUCACUGGUAAAGCUCAAACUAAAAGCAAUUAUCAGAUCACCAAGAAAAGGGUUAAUUAAAAUACUAAAAGCAAUUCUAAUACACUUUGGUUUGGCAGAUUGGAGAAAGGAGUGGCUGAAAGGGCCACAGAGAAUGGCUGUUACCAUAUAUAUGAAUACUUUGUUUAUGGUUAUCUUUUCUCAAAGCUCACAUAAGGCGCACUGUGAAUGGACAAAAACAACAUGAUUGCUAAAGUAAGAUUCGUGUUUGUGGAGUUUGAUGUUCAUUUUGCAAGUCUUGUAGAAGGACCUGUUGUUGCUGAUAUGGGUGUAGGGGAGGGGAAUACAACUUCUUGGAAAACGUGCAAGAAGGCAGAGCUAAGUCAAUCCAAGAACAAAUUAAUAAAGUUCAGAUCAAAUUUGUAGAAUCUGUGAGCUCCUUUAUUUCUAAUUAUAAAUAGGAAGUAUGUAUGUAAUAGAAUAAAGAUUAGUUGACUAUGUAAUAACUAUUGAAUCUUCACAUUUUAUGAAAGAAAUAAUUUUUGAGUGUA